AAUGUCAGGACUCAGCUGGCAGGGCUGUGCAGCUUGCUGCCAGCUCCGUUACCUCUGCUCCUUCACAGGUGUUCGUGGUUGGACGGUGGGCGGAGUGCGCACACCUGCAGCUCGUUCAGCAGCAUCUGAGCGUUCUAUAAGAACUGCGUCCGAACAGCGAGAGGACGCCAGAGUGUUUUCGUUGCGGUUUCCCUGUGUCUACGUGAACCCCGAAUGACUCUAGAGUUCCUCGACUCGACCAGACGUACCUCAGCUCAGGACGCGAGUCACACCAACUCUCUCUCCGGUUCCUCUCGCUGCUCUGGAUCCCUGGACGCCCUCGUUGCUGCUCGGACCCCCUCGCCCCGCUCUCCGUCGACCCGAACGCCUGCUCAAGACAAUCCAGCUGAGUCCUCCUUACCGUCUCCCCGCUCGGUUAACCAAUCCUCGUGGUUUCCCUGUGUCUACGUGAACCCCGAAUGACUCUAGAGUUCCUCGACUCGACCAGACGUACCUCAGCUCAGGACGCGAGUCACACCAACUCUCUCUCCGGUUCCUCUCGCUGCUCUGGAUCCCUGGACGCCCUCGUUGCUGCUCGGACCCCCUCGCCCCGCUCUCCGUCGACCCGAACGCCUGCUCAAGACAAUCCAGCUGAGUCCUCCUUACCGUCUCCCCGCUCGGUUAACCAAUCCUCGUGACUGGUCUGGUCCCUUGGUCCCGGGAUAAGUUCGAGCCGCCAUCGUCCCCCGCCCCGCAGACUAGCGCUGCGCUCCGUGUGCUCCCGAGUUAUUAAUAAAUCCUUGAAUUCUGA